GGAUCCAGACUUUGAUCCUGGCUCAGGAUGAACGCUAGCUACAGGCCUAACACAUGCAAGUCGAGGGGAAACGGCAGCUUAGCUUGCUAAGCUGGACGUCGACCGGCGCACGGGUGAGUAACGCGUAUCCAACCUGCCCCACGGUGAGGGAUAACCCGCGGAAACGCGGCCUAAUACCUCAUGGUCUCCGAGCUUGACAUCAACCUUGGAGUAAAGAUUCAUUGCCGUGGGAUGGGGAUGCGUCUGAUUAGCUUGUUGGCGGGGCAACGGCCCACCAAGGCAACGAUCAGUAGGGGUUCUGAGAGGAAAGCCCCCCACAUUGGAACUGAGACACGGUCCAAACUCCUACGGGAGGCAGCAGUGAGGAAUAUUGGUCAAUGGGCGAGAGCCUGAACCAGCCAAGUAGCGUGCAGGAAGACGGCCCUAUGGGUUGUAAACUGCUUUUAUGCGGGGAUAAAGCGGGCGACGUGUCGCCCUUUGCAGGUACCGCAUGAAUAAGGACCGGCUAAUUCCGUGCCAGCAGCCGCGGUAAUACGGAAGGUCCGGGCGUUAUCCGGAUUUAUUGGGUUUAAAGGGAGCGCAGGCCGGGUAUUAAGCGUGUUGUGAAAUGUAGGCGCCCAACGUCUGCACCGCAGCGCGAACUGGUGCCCUUGAGUACGCACGACGUUGGCGGAAUUCGCCGUGUAGCGGUGAAAUGCUUAGAUAUGGCGAAGAACUCCGAUUGCGGAGGCAGCUGACGGGAGCGCUACUGACGCUCAUGCUCGAAAGCGCGGGUAUCGAACAGGAUUAGAUACCCUGGUAGUCCGCGCGGUA
rnacentral:rRNA from 1 species